rnacentral:rRNA from 1 species
GACGAACGCUGGCGGCGGGCUUAACACAUGCAAGUCGAACGGAAAGGCCCUGCUUUUGUGGGGUGCUCGAGUGGCGAACGGGUGAGUAACACGUGAGUAACCUGCCCUUGACUUUGGGAUAACUUCAGGAAACUGGGGCUAAUACCGGAUAGGAGCUCCUGCUGCAUGGUGGGGGUUGGAAAGUUUCGGCGGUUGGGGGUGGACUCGCGGCUUAUCAGCUUGUUGGUGGGGUAGUGGCUUACCAAGGCUUUGACGGGUAGCCGGCCUGGGAGGGUGACCGGCCACAUUGGGACUGCGAUACGGCCCAGACUCCUACGUGAGGCAGCAGUGGGGAAUAUUGCACAAUGGGCGGAAGCCUGAUGCAGCAACGCCGCGUGCGGGAUGACGGCCUUCGGGUUGUAAACCGCUUUCGCCUGUGACGAAGCGUGAGUGACGGUAAUGGGUAAAGAAGCACCGGCUAACUACGUG